rnacentral:rRNA from 1 species
AGAGAAGGUUACAAGAGCGAACGGCGGAUGCCUAGGCUUCUGGAGGCGAUGAAGGACGUGGUAAGCUGCGAAAAGCACCGGGGAACUGCAAACAGGUAUUGAUCCGGUGAUGUCCGAAUGGGGCAACCCGGCACAUUGAAGAUGUGUCACCAGCUAUGCUGGAGCAAACGCGGGGAACUGAAACAUCUCAGUACCCGCAGGAAGAGAAAGAAAUUAUCGAUUCCCUUAGUAGUGGCGAUCGAACGGGGAAGAGCCUAAACCUGUGCUGUUACGGCAGUGCGGGGGUUGUAGGACCGGUCAUAAGAUUAUCGUGAACGAACUGGAACGUUCUGGAAAGUUCGGUCACAGAGGGUGAUAACCCCGUACAGGUAAGUUUAUGAUGACGAGACCGGCACCUGAGUAGGGCGGGACACGUGAAAUCCUGUCUGAAUCCGCGGGGACCAUCCCGCAAGGCUAAAUACUCCCAGAAGACCGAUAGUGUACCAGUACUGUGAAGGAAAGGUGGGAAGCACCCCGCGCAGGGGAGUGAAAUAGAACCUGAAACCGUUCGUUUACAAGCGGUCGGAGCCCGAUAGGGCGACGGCGUGCCUUUUGCAUAAUGAGCCUACGAGUUGCUUCUG